CAUUUCCUUCUCUCUUCUUCCUUAGCAAUCUGUACUAGUAAUAAUCCAAAUUCCAGAAUUUCAAUCUCCCUCUCUCUCCGCUUUUCUCUCUGAUUAGGGCUAUUGAUUAGGCCAUCUGGUGGUUUGAUUUUUCCAUAACUUCGAUGUCAAAUUACUUGUUUGAUUUGGUCUCUACGACUCCUUUCCCUGCUUUAGAAAUAUGCCAAGUUUCUCCUUCUUCCCCGAUUAUAGCUUUCAGCCAAUUAACCCACCUCACUGAACUGGAGCAGGACGCCAUGAAUUCAAUUUUCUUCUGGUUAAGCAGUCUCGCAGUUCCAAUUUUACUAUCAGAAUCUUUCGC
rnacentral:misc_RNA from 1 species